GACGAACCGAGCGAACGUUGUUCGGAAUCACUGGGCUUAAAGGGCGCGUAGGCGGGUGCUCAAGUCCGGGGUGAAAUCCCACAGCUCAACUGUGGAACUGCCUCGGAUACUGGGUGUCUCGAGGGUGGUAGGGGUAUGCGGAACUAUCGGUGGAGCGGUGAAAUGCGUAGAUAUUGGGAGGAACACCGGUGGCGAAGGCGGCCCCCUGGACCGGUACUGACGCUGAGGCGCGAAAGCGUGGGGUAGCAAACGGG
rnacentral:rRNA from 1 species